GGGCGAAUAGCUCAGUGGUAGAGCACCUGCCUUACACGCAGGGGGUCACAGGUUCGAGCCCUGUUUCGCCCACCA
rnacentral:tRNA from 1 species